AGCAUAAUAUGUCCAAAAAUAGCUUUUGACUCUCAACUGACUCUACUUACGUGUUUUGCUUGAUUCUAAACUCAUUCUAAGCCUUAGAGGGUGUAUUUUGAUCUCAAAUGAAGCAUGAAAAUAACUUUUUUUCAACAGUUAUCACAACCCCAAACUUAGAACUUUGCUUGUCCUCAAGCAAACAAAACUACACUUGGCUAUCCACCUUUUCAUCCAACAAUUCAACAUUCCUAAAAUUCAUGACAAGAACUACUCAACUUUAGACUUUCAAUGGAAUCAAAUCAAGAUGCAUGCAUGCCUUCAACUCAAUUCAAUUCACAUGAUCACAUAAAUCACAACAGAUGCUACAAAUUAUGAAUGACCAAUCCACUAAGCAAAGAUGCAAGCAUGAAAUUUGUCAAUUCUCACCAAGCAAGUGUUUCACUCAAUCACUCAAGUGUUUAAGAUGACCCUCCAACUCUCUAUUAUUCACAAGUCACAAGAAACAAAAUUUCCAUUCAUCUCAAACAAUCAAAAUCGUCAUAUGCAAAUGCCAUCAUAAGGACUUUUCUAAGGCUUGUAUUGAGGUUGGGCUAACAAGAAAAAUUAGUUUUUCUAGAAUGCAAAAUCCUUGAGUUAAGAGAGCUACAAAAUUGUUCAAAAUUCAAGCACAACUCUCUUCCUCACCAAUCUCACUUAUUCCCAGCUUCUUCCCUUUUUUUCUUUUAAUUUUUACAUUGAGCUCAUCUUCAUGCUUCUUUUAUUUUCUUUUCUUUUUCUCAUGCAUUUUUCUUUCUCAACAUUUGAGAUCAAUGUUUUUCAAUUGCCUUUCAAUUUCCCCCAUACAACCCCAAACUUGAACCUUUUCAACACAUACAGUUAAGCUCAACCCAACUCAAGGUAAAGAAUUUUAAAUCAAGGGUUCUCACUCUGUUUAAGGCUAAGGUUCAAAAAGGGUAUAAUGUUUCAAGCACUGGGUGAAAGUUUGGCUAGAUAAGAGUUUGCAAAAAUGGCCUUGAUCAUAUGACAUUCACAUGCAAUUAAUUCAAUCAUCAAGAUUCAAGCAAUAUCAUUCAUGUUUUCCUGUGAACAAUACAUGCAACAAUGAAAACAUUGGAGCUCAAUACCUCACACACAUGCUUUCCUCACACAUCAUUCAACAUACAUCUUGCUUAGCAUCUUAACCACAAUCAUAAUUUAUCACACAUCUGUUCACAUAGCUAGUGAAAUUUUUCACCGAAUAUCAACAUGCAACACAACUCAAUAAUUAUUCACAUCAAAUCAUCAUCAAAUAGACUUAUCAUGCAUAUGUCAUUCAGUCAAACAUUGUCAGAAAAGUUUCAAGCCAUGCAAAGACUCUGAAAAUAAAAAUUCAUCCUAUUCUAAGAAUUCAAAAUGCAAAAAUAAAAAAGAGAGAACCUAGGUUGCCUCCUAGUAGUGCUUGUUUAACGUCACAAGCCUGACCCAGACCUGCUCUAGCACUCAUCAACACCUUUCAGUAGGUGUACUUUCCUGUGUUCUUCAGUAGCUUCAUAAAAAUUAGCAUCCCCCAGUAGAUGCCACCCAAAAAUUACACGUCCAACAAAUAAAUUAAAAAAUAAAAUUGUUCUAUAAUACAAAAUAUGCUCUCCAACAAGUUAAAUCUUCUUCUCCACGUUGUGAUCUUCAUCUUCCCACCUCCUCAAUUGUCUUUUGUCCACUCUUCGGAUUGCUGUGGAGUAUGGCCUUUUGAUCUCCACCACUCGUUCCUCCUUAAGCUUCCUAUUCACAAUCCACUUCCUGUUUUUAUAACUUACAGACAUGCCACGCAGGAAUGGUGUGUCUUCUGAGUGGGUUGACUCUCCUUUGUAUACCUUUUGUUCCUCAAGUAUCUACAAAACAGUACAACUAUUAAGAUGAUCAAUACCUGUGGUGCUCUUCUCUUUUGCGGCUUCACUUCUGGCCCUUUCAUAGUUGGAUCUUCGUCUUAUUCUCAUUUUGUUUUCUUUAGAGCCACUAUAAGUUAUCACUUGUCUUGAUCUCUUAACAUCAUUCUUCCAUCAUGGACACGUAUAACCAUUCUAGAAGUCCUCAUGAAAGGUCUUCCCAAGAUUAAUGGAAUCCUUCCCUCAUUUUCCAUGUCCACAACAAGAAAGUCAAUCAAGAACUCCAACUCCUCAAUUCGAACAAUUGCAUCUUCCACCAUGCCAACUGGUUUCUUGAUGGAUCCAUCCGCAACUGUUAGGAUAGUAUUAGCUGGUUUUAAUUUUAUCCCUCCAAUAUUCUUGAAAUCACUGAAGGGCAUCAAAUUAACACUUGAUCCUGAAUCGAUCAUGGCUCUUCCUAUAUUCACAUUAUUAAUAACACAAGGAAGAGUCAAAUUCCCUAAAUGCUUCAAUUUCGGUGGAUGGUCCUUCUUUCUAGGUUUAACAAACCUUGCCUUAUCUUAUUCUUCAUCAAGAUCAAUUACCUAUCCAAGAUAGUACUUGAUCCUCUUAUCAUAGUCAGGAAUUUGUGGAAGUACUACAGGAGUAACAGUCCCUUGAUUAAAGAUCUCCAUGAAUGGCUCCCGAUAACUCUCUUCCUCUUCCUCCUCUUUCUUUUCUUUGCCUUUGCUGCUUUCAAUUUCAAUUCUUUCCCCUUCUGUCUUCAUGAAGGGUCGUCCGAGAAUCAAAGGUGCAUCUCCAUUUUCUUCCAUCUCCAUUAUAACAAAAUCCACUGGAAAUAAGAAUUUAUCUACCUUAACUAUCACAUCUUCAGCAAUUCCAUAAGGAUAUUUGAGAGAUUUAUCUGCUAAUUGAAGAACCAUUCUUGUUUGUUUGAUCUCCAACCCUAUAAUCUUUUUGAACAUAGAAAGAGGCAUCAGAUUUAUACUAUCUCCUAGAUCAAUCAAAGCUUUCCCAACCUCUAACUCUCCAAUAGUACAUGGAAUAGUGAAGCUCCCUAGAUCUUGUGAUUUAGGAGGUAGUGACCUUUGUAUGACAGCACUGCAAUUCCCUUGCACCUCAAUCGUUUCUUUUUCAGCAUACUUUCUUUUUGGUUUAAUAUACCAUUUGGUCCUUUUUUUUCGGGGUUUGGUUCAAAAUGAUCCCACCUUUGAAAAAAGUUUAAUAAGCUCCCAUAUUUCAUUAAAAAUUGUUCAAUAUCGUCCCUUUUGCAGACGCCGUUAAAAUCAUAACGGUGCAAAUGCUAGCGUGGCGAAACAUCAAUUACCUGUUUACUUCGAUGCUUACGUGGCGCUGUGAAGUCAUUUUAAUGUGUAAAUAUUUAAGAAAAAAUAAAAUGACAAAAAAUAGGUUAAAGUAAAAUACCUUACGCCAUUUUUGGGUUGAAGCAGUUGCCUAUGGUGCUGUAAUGCAAGGAAGCAUUUUGAGCAGAGAGGGGGUGAAGAAACCAAAGAUAUACUUCUCCUGGAUGUGGCUCCCUUCACCCUUGGAAUUGAAAUUGUUGGUAGAGUGAUAACAAAGUUGAUUCCCAAAAAAACUGUUAUCCCAACAAAGAAAUCUCAGGUGUUUACCACCUACCAGGGCCAGCAGACCACUAUCUCCAUUCAGGUUUUCGAAGGUGAGAGGAGUCUCACAAAAGAGUGUCGCCUGUUUGGGAAAUUUGAUCUGUCGGGAAUUUGGGGGUUAGGGUUUAAUUUGAUUUUGUGUUAAAUUUAGGUAUUUUCAUCAAUUGACCAUGAUGUAAUUAGGGUUUCUAGCUGCCCAUUCCAUCUCCAACCUUCGAUUCUCUCUCGUUACCGUGAAAGCCACUACCUUCUACAACUCUAUUUCUAAGGCCACCAGCCACUGCUAAGUGCUAAGGUUUUUGUAUCGAACCAAUAUUCUAUCCCCAUCUGAUUGUUCCCAUGCCUGGUUCAUAAAGAAAAGGAAAUUAUGAAAUUCUUAUUAAAACUUAAUUUAAGAUGACUUGUUCUUCUUCUUAUUCUGGUUGUGGUUGUUCUUCUGAUGACAAAGAAAAAGGAGGGGUUCAGGACUUGACUUUGUGUUGUAUAUGGUGUAACUCUUUUUCACUGUCAAGUUUUGCAUAUGCUGCUACUACAAUAUAUAGCUCUGCAUUCAUGUCAAUGAAAGACUGUGAGAUAGAAAGAGAAAAUGAGACAAGCUUGGCAUAGGUGGUGAGGAAAAUAAAAAGAAAGAAAAGCUAGAGGGAAAUGAUGACCUUACGUCAUCUAAAUUUUUUAAACAUUUACACAGUGUAACAACAAGUAUUUAUAAAACUUUCCAGCUCAUUCACGUUUGGCCACGAUGACAUUAGCACCGUUAAGUUUUUAACGGAGUCGGUGAAAAGGACCAGAAUAAACAUUUUAUAACGAAAUAUGCGACUUUACUGAACUUUUUUAAAAGGUAGGAUCAUUUUGAACCAAACCCAUAAAAGUAGGGACCAAAUGAUGUAUUAACAAAUCUCGGUGGAUGGUCCUUCUUUCUAGGUUUAACAAACCUUGCCUUAUCUUCUUCUUCAUCAAGAUCAAUUACCUCUCCAAGAUAGUACUUGAUCCUCUUAUCAAUUACCCCUGAUUAAAGAUCUCCCUGAAUGGCUCCCGGUAACUCUCUUCCUCUUCCUCCUCUUUCUUUUCUUUGCCUUUGCUGCUAUCAAUUUCAAUUAUUUCCCCUUUUGUCUUCAUGAAGGAUCGUCCGAGAAUCAAAGGUACAUCUCCAUUUUCUUCCAUCUCCAUUAUAACAAAAUCCACUGGAAAUAAGAAUUUAUCUACCUUAACUAUCACAUUUUCAGCAAUUCCAUAAGGAUAUUUGAGAGAUCUAUCUGCUAAUUGAAGAACCAUUCUUGUUUGUUUGAUCUCCAACCCUAUAAUCUUUUUGAACAUAGAAAGAGGCAUCAGAUUUAUACUAGCUCCUAGAUCAAUCAAAGCUUUCCCAACCUCUAACUCUCCAAUAGUACAUGGAAUAGUGAAGCUCCCUAGAUCUUGUGAUUUAGGAGGUAGUGANCUUUGUAUGACAGCACUGCAAUUCCCUUGCACCUCAAUCGUUUCUUUUUCAGCAUACUUUCUUUUUUACGUAAUGAUUUCUUUUAAAAACUUUGAAUAUGAUGGUAUUUGCUGAAGUGCCUCCGAGAAUGGAAUAGUUAUUUCAAAUUUCUUGAAAAUCUCCAUAAAAGGCUCAAAUUGUUUCUCUUUCUCCUUUCUAGAAUAUAUUUUCGGGUACGGUAGUGGUUUUUCGUACUCCUUCUCUUUUAAAUUUUUCAGCUUCCUUUUCCUACUUUUUGUUCAUCAUAAUUUUCUCUAUCUCACACUCCUCCCUUUGAUCAUUCUUUUCUUCGACACUUUCUUUUUCUUUUUCUUUUUUCUCAACCUCUCUUUCUUUUAAUAUUCUCUCACUUCUAGUAAGAAUCUCACACGCUUCUUCCACCUUACUUUUCUCCAUACAGUCGACAACAAACACAUUUCUAUUCAUAAUUCUCUGAAAAGUUUCUUCAGAUUCUACACUUCUAUGUAUGGGCAUGAAAUGAGGCUGUUGUGGGACAAUUGAAGCUUUUAUAACUGCCUGUGAUAAAUCAGAUAAUUUUUUUGUCAUUAUCUCCCACUGCUGAGCGAUUAUAUUCUUUUGCUUCCUCGUGACAACAUUAUUUUGUAUCAUCAAAGCUUCUUUAACAACAUCAACAUAUGUACCAUGUGUUUCGUCAUUAUCAGCCAUAAUUUCUAUCAAAUCAUAAGCUUCGUCCUCAGUCUUUCUAUUUAUACUGCCUCCAGCUGAAGCAUCUAACAUCUAACAUCAUCUUUGACUGAGUAUGUAGGCCUCCAAGGAAAGCAAGUAAGUAUGAGGUGUUGUCAAGCCCAUGGACUGGGGUCUUCCUCAACAGGCCUUUAAAUCUGUCCCAAGCCUGCCCAAGAGUUUCUUCCAUUCCUUGUUUAAAUGAAGAAAUUUCCAGCUUCCCUUGAUUGAUCUUUGUUAAUGGAAAGAAUUUGAUAACAAAUUAUUUUGCCACAACCUCCCAAUUUCUGAAAGUACCUUUUGGGAAUGAAUGCAACCAAUCUUUAGCGUUUCCUCCAAGAGAGAAAGGAAACAAGUUGAGUCUGACCCUGUCAUCUGAAACUCCGUUUAUCUUGACGGUAUUACAAAUUUCACCAAAAAUAGUCAAAUGAUUAUAGGGAUUCUCAUUUGACAACCCAUGAAAUUGGUUGCUCUGAACUAACAGGAUAAGUGCAGGGCUCAUCAGCAUGUUUGUUGCAUUAUCAGCUGACAAGGUUAUACUCUUGAAGUGCAAAGGACCCACUGUGUUUGCUGAGUCCCCCAGUGUACGUCUUGGAGGAGGUUGGUCUGCCAUCUCCUCUAUGUCCUGUGCAAAAGUCUCUAGUAAAGAUUGCAAAAGUCUUUCAGGAGAAGGAAAAUUUUCACGUGCAGGACCUCUAACUUUCCUCCUUCUCCUGUCUGAUAGCCCUUCGAGACGAGGAUGCUGGUUUUUCCUGCUCCUAGUGUGUAUUCCUUCCUGCAUACACAAGAAACAACACCCCUAAAAGCACUUUUAAAAAAAAUUAAAAACAAAAUUAAACAAAGCAAAAUAUACACAAUAAUUACAAGCAAGUCAAAUUUCAAACAAUUUACACUACUUGAAAAAGUUAAACCUCGAGUCCCCAGCAACGGCGCCAAAAACUUCUUGACUUCCUGGAAAGUGUACUAGAUCGUUUCAAGUAAUAUAAUUGGUAAAACCCAAUAUCAUUCUUCCCAAGAGACUCGAAGACCUUAUCGUUCGUGCAAAUUGAAAUCGUAAGACUUGUAAAGAAAAAGUGACCGGUUUGAAUGCAAGAAACAACAAAUAAACAUGCAAAUGCGGUUGAUUCAAUUAACGAGAAAAAGACUAUGGUUGAAUGGAGUUGUUGGGGUUUACAACUUCAUCUUAUCCACUUUCUCUUAUCUACUCCUCUUAUUUAAUUUGCUUUGUUAUCUAAUUGUCAUGCAAACUUUCUUAGUUUACCCUUAACCCGAUCCCUGGGCGAAAAGAGCCUAUUAAGAAUUACUGGCUUGCUAUCCCUAGCCUCCCCUAGUAAUUAAUAAUGCAUUAUAAACAGAAGCAAAAACAAUUGAUCGUCCCAACCCCCUAUCCCUAGGUGGUAUUGCUUAAUCAAGGUAUUUCCCCCAAUUCAUGACAGUACUGUAUGUUCCCGUAUCAAUAAAGAUAAACAACGAUUAUCGAAUGAGUUAAACGAUAAAAGCUUUAAGCGCAGAAGAGAAACCCAACAAUUGAUAAUCAAAGCAUACGACAAGCAUAUAAAUAAAUAAGAGUUUCAAAAGAUUACAUUGUUCCCCAACAACAAAAGGGUUUAGUUCACCAUUGUCAUGGUGAAACUAGAUGAAAAAUGAUGGAAGAAUGGAAAAACAAACCCUAGAUAGGAUAAAAAGGAGCCAAAGCAUCCAAGAGAUCUUCUACAAGAACUGAAAAUUAGGUCUGGCCGCCUUCUUUUGUCAAAAGAAUACAUCUAAAGUCGCAAUAGAGUUAUUUAUAGCUGAGGAGCAUCACAGAAAUCAGGCCCAAGCCCAACAGACAACCGCCCGGCGUCACACUUAUGUCGCCCGGCGGUUUGCCCGUAAUCGCGCCACCCACCGGCGGUGAAUUGCAUCGCCCGGCGGUUUGCCUCUAAUUGCGAAACUGCCUGGCUGCACCGCCUGGGCGCGAGACAGUGGCUCCCCCUCGCAUUUGGCCGCCCAGCGUUGGAUUUUGGGCGCUGGGUGGUUCCUAGACUCUUCUUUCUUCGUGUUUCUUCGUCUUUCUAGAGUCUAAGACCUUCCAUCUUCAAUCCCAUUCUUCAUCUUUAUCAAAAAUGCUGUAAAACAAUGCAAAACAAGCUUUUGACUCUCAACUGACUCAACUUACGUGUUUUGCUUGAUUCUAAACUCAUUUUAUGCCUUAGAGGGUGUAUUUUGAUCUCAAAUGAAGCAUGAAAAUAACUGUUUUUCAACAGUUAUCACUGAGCUGAAGAUGAAAUGCGCUAGUGCAGCUCCAUACUUACUAAGGUCACCCCCUCUUGUGUAAAUGACUUCGUUGCCCUUAUUCUUGGUUUGGU
rnacentral:lncRNA from 1 species